rnacentral:rRNA from 1 species
AUUGAACGCUGGCGGCAUGCCUUACACAUGCAAGUCGAACGGCAGCACGGAGCUUGCUCUGGUGGCGAGUGGCGAACGGGUGAGUAAUAUAUCGGAACGUACCCAAGAGUGGGGGAUAACGUAGCGAAAGUUACGCUAAUACCGCAUACGAUCUAAGGAUGAAAGCAGGGGACCGCAAGGCCUUGUGCUCCUGGAGCGGCCGAUAUCUGAUUAGCUAGUUGGUGAGGUAAAGGCUCACCAAGGCAUCGAUCAGUAGCUGGUCUGAGAGGACGACCAGCCACACUGGAACUGAGACACGGUCCAGACUCCUACGGGAGGCAGCAGUGGGGAAUGUUGGACAAUGGGGGCAACCCUGAUCCAGCAAUGCCGCGUGAGUGAAGAAGGCCUUCGGGUUGUAAAGCUCUUUUGUCAGGGAAGAAACGGUCGUGGCUAAUAUCCAUGGCUAAUGACGGUACCUGAAGAAUAAGCACCGGCUAACUACGUGCCAGCAGCCGCGGUAA